GAUUCAAGGCACUCAGAACUCCACUGGUCAAACAGAAAUAAACAUCAUUCCUGUUACGUAACCACGAGCAGAAAGCGAGAGUCUUGCAGAACAAGCCUCAUCUCAACACAGCUAAAGACUUUGCAGAGGCAAAUAGGGAUUUGAAUCUGAUUCUGCUGGCAUUCAAGAUCACUGGGGUACAUGCUGCAGAGAACUUGGAGCUGACUGUCAAGCACUAUAGUAACAGUUGCACUACAGUUGAGCCAACAGGAACCACCUGUGUAACAUGCAUAGUCUACCCAGCAGCAGGGAUGGUGUCCUGGAGAACUUCUGGAGAAACUGUGGAAGAAAAGGCCUAAGCAAAGUGUGAUUGGCACAGAGAGAAGGAAGAGUAUUCUAGAUCUUACAAGUCCUUCCCCUGAGGACAUUCUCCCAGCACAACAAAAGCCAGUAUAGAGUAAGAUGGAGAGCCAUGAGCACAGUGUUGCAGCCGGUGCUUGUGGUGGUAUUUUUAUGGUGAUAAAACAGAAGAGCAACCCCUGUUGCAAGACUGGGUGUUUUGGACUGGGACUGGAAGUGCAAAUGUGAGCCUAUGGAAA